GAACAAAAAAAUAUUCAGCCUUUUUAUUUUCUUUUUUAUUCAGCCCACCCCUGGAGGCGGAUUUUCUGUGUAAAAACGAAAAUGAAAAUUCUAAAGCCUCCCAACUGGGAGGCUUUUUUGUC
rfam:Shewanella frigidimarina NCIMB 400, complete genome.